UACGGGGGGGGCAAGCGUUGUUCGGAAUUACUGGGCGUAAAGGGCUCGUAGGUGGCCAACUAAGUCAGACGUGAAAUCCCUCGGCUUAACCGGGGAACUGCAUCUGAUACUGGAUGGCUUGAGAUUGGGAGAGGGAUGCGGAAUUCCAGGUGUAGCGGUGAAAUGCGUAGAUACCUGGAGGAACACCGGUGGCGAAGGCGGCAUCCUGGACCAACACUGACGCUGAGGAGCGAAAGCCAGGGGAGCAAACGGG
rnacentral:rRNA from 1 species